AUUGAACGCUGGCGGCAGGCCUAACACAUGCAAGUCGAGCGAGCGGCGGACGGGUGAGUAAUGUCUGGGAAACUGACUGAUGGAGGGGGAUAACUACUGGAAACGGUAGCUACUACCGCAUACCAUCAGAUGUGCCCAGAUGGGAGUAGCUAGUAGGUGGGGUAACGGCUCACCUAGGCGACGAUCCCUAGCUGGUCUGAGAUGAGGACCAGCAAGACUGGAACUGAGACAAGGUCCAGAUUCCUACGGGAGGCAGCAGUGGGGAAUAUUGGCCAAUGGGCGCAAGCCUGAUGCAGCCAUGCCGGGUGUGUGAAGAGGGCCUUCGGGUUGUAAAGCACUUUCAGCGGGGCGGCGUUACCCGCAGAAGAAGCACCGGCUAACUCCGUGCCAGCAGCCGCGGUAAUUC
rnacentral:rRNA from 1 species